rnacentral:lncRNA from 1 species
AUGUCUAAUGUCAAUAAUAAUAUCUACUCAUUAUCAAUCCUCUAUCCACAUGAUCAACCGUUGGCUUUGAACUAUGAAAAACAAACAAGCUACUUAAAAGUUUCAGACGUUAAAUAUAAAACCUCAAAACCUGUCAAGCCUCUUACAUCAUUCUUUGUAAAAGACGAAAAGCUAAUCACAACAAUACUACUAACAUAUCACAAGGAGAACAAACUAAAGAUAUCAUAUUCCACAGAGAUGACUUCGUGUCCUCUACUUCCUGUUUCUGAUACUGACUCUGGGCUACUGAAACUGCUGUUAUCUCUACUGUCCAGACUCAGUCAGGUCCAGGUUGGUACUCUACUGUCCAGACUCAGUCAGGUCCAGGUUGGUACUCUACUGUCCAGACUCAGUCAGGUCCAGGUUGAUACUCUAUUGUACUAUACUAUUACUAUACCAUGCUAUACUAUACCAUGCUAUACUAUACCAUGCUAUACUAUGCUAUACCAUUCCAUGCUAUACUAUGCUAUACUAUGCUAUACUAUGCUAUACUAUGCUAUGCUACACUAUACCAUGUUAUACUAUACUAUACUGUACUAUAACAUACUGUACUAUACUAUACUGUACAAUACUAUCCUAUCCAGACUGAGUCAGGUCCAGGUUGAUACUCUACUGUACUACUAUACUAUACUAUACUAUACUAUACUAUACUAUACUAUACUAUACUAUACUAUACUAUCCUAUCCAGACACAGUCAGGUCCAGGUCGAUACUCUAUUGUACUAUACUGUACUACUAUACUAUACUAUACUAUACUCUACUAUACUAUACUAUACUGUACUAUAACAUACUGUACUAUACUAUACUGUACGAUACUAUCCUAUCCAGACUGAGUCAGGUCCAGGUUGAUACUCUAUUGUACUAUACUGUACUCUACUGUACUGUCCAGACACAGUCAGGUCCAUGUGGAUACUCUACUGUACUACUAUACUAUACUCUACUACUAUACUAUACUGUACUAUACCAUACUGUACUAUACUAUACUGUACUAUACUAUCCCAUCCAGACUGAGUCAGGUCCAGGUUGA